UGCGGCCAGGACAGCGCUCCCUUUCUCGGCCGGGUCCUCGGCUUCCGAGUCCUGUGACAGCAGCCCACCCGCACCCCUUCCUCCUCUGCUGCUCUCAAUGGAGAGCGGAGCAAGGUGGUGGGGUUUUGCAUUUCGGAUUUCGGAGGUGCUGGAUGUGUUUUCGAAACGCCUACGAGGGACUUAAGCUAGGGGCCGAAGAGUCGUCUUGUCCCAGGAGGAAACCCGUCCAGAGAGAACACGGGACUCCACUGUCCUGUCCCGUGGCUCUGAGGUUGGGCUGACUGUAACGUGAACAGCAGGGCCACGCCUCACACCACUCUCGUCACAGCCAAGGCGACUCGCCUGCGCUCACGCCCAAGGCCAGCCCUGCCCGUCCUCCGCAGCUGACCAGCUCCCAACGGCACAGACACCGGAAGGGCACCUUCGAGAGGGCACGGCAGGGGCAAGUUGGAAAGUGACGUCGUGUAUGUCCAGUGUCUGGGCCACUCAGUGACAUCAAAACGGAACCCACGCUCUCCAGGGAACAUGGCUGGGCGGCAGCAGCGCCUUACACGCAGUCCGACGGGCGGUCCUUCAGAGGACAGCUGGCCGCCAACACACUACUGACUCCACGACAGAGGACAAUAGCGUUUUCAACAAAUGCUUGAACAUGAAUGGCAGCCUAGUCUAGUGACUGAAUGGGCCCUAGCAUUUUCUAUUCGUGUGAUUUGGGGUACUUAAGUGUCCUGUGCCUCAGUUUUGUCUCCCACCUAUAAAAUAAUGAAGCAGUCACUCAGAGACGCUGUGAAGAUGGAACGAGCGGAUUCAGUGUGUGCAGCCCCGACGCUCAGUACAUGUUAACGUUCAUUUUUGCAUAGGCCCGGCCGGGAGGAAGCUAGAUGAUUGAGGUCUUGGAGGCUGCUGGUUGUAAAACUCUACAGCAAGUGGGCGAUGGAGACAUCUACAGGCUGAUGUGAAAACUACAGGAGAGGCUAGGGAGCAGGCCUCAGAAGACCCUGCAGGGCUACCAAGAACUAGUGAUUUCAGAGGAAUAGGAGAAAUGAAGAUUUUCCACUGAUCUUUUAGCCCGGAGUCCACAAACUUGCAUGGAGAGGCAAGGAACAAGCCUCAGAAGACCCCUUCGUGGCUACUGAAAACUAGUGAUUUCAGAGGAACAGGAGAAAGGAAGAUUUUCCACUGAUAAUUCAG